rnacentral:rRNA from 1 species
GACGAACGCUGGCGGCGUGCCUAAUACAUGCAAGUAGAACGCUGAAGGAGGAGCUUGCUUCUCUGGAUGAGUUGCGAACGGGUGAGUAACGCGUAGGUAACCCGCCUGGUAGUGGGUGAUAACUAUUGGAAACGAUAGCUAAUACCGCAUAAUAGCAGUUGUUGCAUGAUAACUGUCUGAAAGGUGCAAUUGCACUGCUACUAGAUGGACCUGCGUUGUUUUAGCUAGUAGGUGGGGUAACGGCGCACCAAGGCGACGAUACAUAGCCGACCUGGGGGGGUGAUCGGCCACACUGAGCCGGAGACCCGGCCCGAACUCCAACGGGAGGAAGCGGUGGGGAAUCUUCGGCAAUGGCCGAAAGUCUGACCGAGCAAGGCCGCGUGAGUGAAGAGGGUUUUCGGUUCGUAAAGCCCUGUUGUAGGGAAGAACGAGUGUGAGAGUGGAAAGUUCCCACUGUACCGGUAUCUUACAAGAAGGGGACGGCUACCUACGU